GACGAACGCUGGCGGCGUGCCUAACACAUGCAAGUCGAACGGUGAAGCUCCAGCUUGCUGGUGUGGAUCAGUGGCGAACGGGUGAGUAACACGUGAGCAACCUGCCCCUGACUCUCGUAUAAGCGCUGGAAACGGCGUCUAAUACUGGAUACGAGAAGGGUCCGCAUGGGCACUUUCUGGACAGUUUUUCGGUUGGGGAUGGGCUCGCGGCCUAUCAGCUUGUUGGUGAGGUAAUGGCUCACCCAGGCGACGACGGAUAGCCGGCCUGAGAGGGCGACCGGCGACACUGGGACUGAGGGACGGACCAGACUCCAACGGGAGGCAGCAGUGGGAAAUAUUGCACAGUGGGCGAAAGCGUGAUGCAGCGACGCCGCGUGAGGGAUGACGGCUUUCGGGUUGUAAACCUCUUUCGGCAGAGAAGAAGCGAAAGUGACGGUACCUGAAGAAGAAGCACCGGCUAACUACGUG
rnacentral:rRNA from 1 species